AAGUAAAGAGCCCAGAGACCCUGACCAGCUUUACAGCACGCUCAAGAGCAUCCUCCAGCAGGUGAAAAGCCAUCAAAGCGCUUGGCCCUUCAUGGAACCUGUGAAGAGAACAGAAGCUCCAGGAUAUUAUGAAGUUAUAAGGUUCCCCAUGGGUAAUGCCAUUAACAUUUUCUAAGUAUAGAUUUAAAACUCUGGAUGGCGGUGUGGGGGACAAAUGGUUGCUGAGGUUGAUUUGUACUCCUUUGCUUAGGGUAGGAAGUGUAUGACGGGUGGUGGGAUUCCAUGCACCGUGGCGGGGCAGUGAGGGCAGAGAAGUGGGUGGCUGUGUUCAUUAGAGACAUUCUGCAGCUGUUGUUUAGAGCCCACAUGAGCUUAAUGACACUAGAUGGAGAAAAUCCAGGGUAACUGCAGACAGCACUAGAUUUGAAAGCUGGCACUUUAGAUAUAACUUUGCUUAUAUUCUAACUCUUUGGUGCAAAUAGAAAAACAUCAGCCUAUCCUCUUGAUAUGCUUUGUGUCUGUCGUAAAUAGUAUUCCUUUGAAUAAUUAUUCAAGAUAAUAAUGAAAGAAGUUAGAUUAAACUACUUGACUGCUGUACUUUCAGAGGGAGAAAUUCUACUUACCACAAUUCUUGAUUUUCCAUGCCGUUGAUGGGUACUGUUAAUGUCACUGUA
rnacentral:sRNA from 1 species